AAUAAAACGAUAAAAAAGAAUGGCUUAUAAUUAAAAAACAUUUUAGCGAGUUGAUAAUGGUGAAAGAUCAACAUGUUAGGUUAUGGGCUCUAUCACUUUUGAGUGUUGAACUGAACGAUAGUAAGUUCAAACGAUUGGCAAUCGUUAUCUGCUACAAUGAGGAGGGCUUUUUUAUUGGCCCUUAAAUUUGGGUGGUAUCACGAAGACUUCGUCCCUUUG
rnacentral:ncRNA from 1 species